UACGUAGGGACCAAGCGUUGUUCGGAUUUACUGGGCGUAAAGGGCGCGUAGGCGGCUUAACAAGUCACUUGUGAAAUCUCCGGGCUUAACUCGGAACGGCCAAGUGAAACUGUCAAGCUAGAGUGCAGAAGGGGCAAUCGGAAUUCUUGGUGUAGCGGUGAAAUGCGCAGAUAUCGGGAGGAACACCAAUGGCGAAGGCAGCUCGCUGGGACGGUACUGACGCUGAGGCGCGAAAGCUAGGGGAGCAAACGGGG
rnacentral:rRNA from 1 species